CUACGGAGGCAGCAUGGGAAUUGCAAUGGGGACUGAUCAAGCAUGCGCGUGUUGAGAGCUUACGUGUAAGGCACUUAGCGAGGAGGAAGCUUGUUAGCUAUACCCAUGAUGAGUGACGUACUCGCAGAUAGCACGCUACUCUGUGCAGCAGCGCGUAUACAGAGGGUGCAGCGUAAUCGGAUUACUGGGCGUAAAGCGCGCGUAGGCGGCCAAUUAAGUCAAAUGUGAAAUCCCCGAGCUCAACUUGGGAAUUGCAUUCGAUACUGGUAGGCUAGAGUGUGGGAGAGGAUGGUAGAAUUCCAGGUGUAGCGGUGAAAUGCGUAGAGAUCUGGAGGAAUACCGAUGGCGAAGGCAGCCAUCUGGCCUAACACUGACGCUGAGGUGCGAAAGCAUGGGGAGCAAACAGGAUUAGAUACCCUGGUAGUCCAUGCCGUAAACGAUGUCUACUAGCCGUUGGUGCCUUUGAGGCGUUAGUGGCGCAGCUAACGCGAUAAGUAGACCGCCUGGGGAGUACGGUCGCAAGACUAAAACUCAAAUGAAUUGACGGGGGCCCGCACAAGCGGUGGAGCAUGUGGUUUAAUUCGAUGCAACGCGAAGAACCUUACCUGGCCUUGACAUAGUAGAAACUUUCCAGAGAUGGAUUGGUGCCUUCGGGAAUUUACAUACAGGUGCUGCAUGGCUGUCGUCAGCUCGUGUCGUGAGAUGUUGGGUUAAGUCCCGCAACGAGCGCAACCCUUUUCCUUACUUGCCAGCAUUUCGGAUGGGAACUUUAAGGAUACUGCCAGUGACAAACUGGAGGAAGGCGGGGACGACGUCAAGUCAUCAUGGCCCUUACGGCCAGGGCUACACACGUGCUACAAUGGUCGGUACAAAGGGUUGCUACCUAGCGAUAGGAUGCUAAUCUCAAAAAGCCGAUCGUAGUCCGGAUUGGAGUCUGCAACUCGACUCCAUGAAGUCGGAAUCGCUAGUAAUCGCGGAUCAGAAUGCCGCGGUGAAUACGUUCCCGGGCCUUGUACACACCGCCCGUCACACCAUGGGAGUUUGUUGCACCAGAAGUAGCUAGCCUAACUGCAAAGAGGGCGGUUACCACGGUGUGGCCGAUGACUGGGGUGAAGUCGUAACCAAGAGCAAGGCCCA
rnacentral:rRNA from 1 species